GAAGAAGAGGAGAACUGAUAUGUGGAGGCUGUUUCCUUACCCUACAGUUGGUACCCAUGAGUCCCUACUGGCACAAAUCUGGCCCACUAAUGUUCUGUUACCGUUCACAGUAAAACACCUGAGUUGCAGAUUUUUUUCACACAAUUUACACCUCAAACUGAUUGCACAUUGACCAGUCAAACUGGCCAGACAGGAAGGAGAUUGCUUUAUUCUAAUUAAAGAACCCAGCAAAAAAAAAAGGUUCUACUUUUAGUUUAACUGUCAAGCUAUAACUGAUUACCUUAUCCUCUGUAUCGAAAGGAGUCGGUUUAUUUGGUGUGAGCAUUGGAUCAGAAUGCCUCAGUGACUCAUUUCGGAGGGAUUUCGGGCACUUUUAGGUGGUAGGAGAUUCCCAGGACGUCCCAAAACUUGCUGAAGGUAAUUUAUAUCCAUUUUGGCACUGGAACAACUUGAGAUCCUACAGAAUGAUCUGGAGAGUCUCUGGGCAGGCUAUGCCUGGCUUUUCCUUACUUGAUCUGUUAUCCCCAUGACCCCAUCUUACACAGGCAGAAGACAAUGGAUGGACGAAUUACUUUUUAAGCAACCGUAUCCCAGCAAAAGGUUGUACCCAAAGUCUUUCUUCCAAAACUCACCAACUAUCUGGGAAUUCAAUAUGCACAUAGGCAUGACCUAACAGCCACCUCGAUUUUGCAUAUAAGGAUGUUUGUAGGAGCUGGUUUUAGAUUUCUAAGAUCCUCAAGUCCGCGUAGAGCUGAAUGAAGGCGUGUCAUGAAUUAAUGUAUAAAGGUCUAUCUGUUGUGAUCAUUGUAACAACUUGCUGUUGUAACCAUGGUGACUCAGGGCCCUUGUUCCGCUUGUUACUCAUUGUGAAGAGCUACUGUGUCCGCUGAGAAGUUAACGUCAAUCAGAAAUACAUUUGUGCUUUGUGGAAAGUUGAGGUGAAUGUCACACUACUAAGAUUUUCUCUGUCGCGACUGACAACGACAGAAGGUGUGCAUGCAAGAUGAAAUGAUUAAACAGACACAGAAAGAAAAACAAUAUAAAGAUGAAGACAUGCAGAUAUUUUUAGCCAAAAUCGUGCAGAAAGGCUACAUGAAGCAACGCAGCGCAGCAUGACGACAGCAUGGGGAUUGUGGCCGACGUCUGCUGCAGUGUGAGGAUGUAGGGUUACAAGAGGAAAGGAGGAGGAGAAGAAGGACCCAGUGACACUCAAACAGGCUGGGCCAGACUGUCUGAGACUGAGAAGACGAGCCCAGGGCUCAGUCACAGGCGGGUCAGGACACAGCUGUUGCCAAGGAAGAAAACUGGUGCGUUGAUGGCCUGGUUGUGCUGAUGCUGGUUUUAGAGCCGCAUUGACCUGCUUUCAGCUGCUGUUUUGGCAAAAUCCUGGCUAACUUCACACUUUGCACGUACAAAACAAGCAGGCUAUAAA